GCGCUCGCUCCGGGGUGCCCCGGGUGGUGCGGUUGAAGAAAAUCGCCCCGUCCGCUGCGCUGAGAUGGCCGAAUGGCCAAACCCGCUGUACUUGAUCCGGUUCGUACCGGCGUAAGAAGAGCCCGCCCGCUUGGG
rnacentral:ncRNA from 2 species